AACGAACGCUGGCGGCGUGCCUAACACAUGCAAGUCGUGCGAGAAAGUUCCUUCGGGAGCGAGUAAAGCGGCGCACGGGUGAGUAACACGUAGGUAACCUGCCCCCCAGUCUGGAACAACUAGAGGAAACUCUAGCUAAUGCCGGAUGAGACCACGAUCCCUUCGGGGGUUGCGGCCAAAGAUGGCCUCUACUUGUAAGCUAUCGCUGAGGGAUGGGCCUGCGGGCCAUUAGCUUGUUGGUGAGGUAACGGCUCACCAAGGCUGUGAUGGCUAGCUGGUCUGAGAGGAUGACCAGCCACACUGGGACUGAGACACGGCCCAGACUCCUACGGGAGGCAGCAGUGGGGAAUAUUGCGCAAA
rnacentral:rRNA from 1 species